rnacentral:rRNA from 1 species
GUGGGGAAUCUUGCGCAAUGGGCGAAAGCCUGACGCAGCCAUGCCGCGUGAAUGAUGAAGGUCUUAGGAUUGUAAAAUUCUUUCACCGGGGACGAUAAUGACGGUACCCGGAGAAGAAGCUCCGGCUAACUUCGUGCCAGCAGCCGCGGUAAUACGAAGGGGGCUAGCGUUGCUCGGAAUUACUGGGCGUAAAGGGCGCGUAGGCGGACAUUUAAGUCAGGGGUGAAAUCCCGGGGCUCAACCUCGGAACUGCCUUUGAUACUGGGUGUCUUGAGUAUGAGAGAGGUGUGUGGAACUCCGAGUGUAGAGGUGAAAUUCGUAGAUAUUCGGAAGAACACCAGUGGCGAAGGCGACACACUGGCUCAUUACUGACGCUGAGGCGCGAAAGCGUGGGGAGCAAACAGGAUUAGAUACCCGGGUAGUCC